GAUGAAGAACGUAGCGAAACGCGAUAAGUAAUGUGAAUUGCAGAAUCCAGUGAAUCAUCGAAUCUUUGAACGCACAUUGCGCCCGCCAGCAUUCUGGCGGGCAUGCCUGUUCGAGCGUCAUUUCAACCCUCGACCUCCCCUUGUGGAGGUCGGCGUUGGGGACCGGCAGCACACCGCCGGCCCUGAAAUGGAGUGGCGGCCCGUCCGCGGCGACCUCUGCGCAGUAAUACAGCUCGCACCGGGACCCCGACGCGGCCACGCCGUAAAACACCCAACUUCUGAACGUUGACCUCGAAUCAGGUAGGACUACCCGCUGAACUUAAGCAUAUCAAUAAGCGGAGGA
rnacentral:misc_RNA from 1 species